rnacentral:sRNA from 12 species
UAGCCCUUUGCAAGGUGGAGAAUACGGAAACGCUCUCACGGCUACUAACACAGCCGAGGACACCUAAACAGGGGGCUUUC